GUGCUCACUUCAGCAACACAUAUACUAAACUUGGAACGAUACAAAGAUUAGCAUGGCUCUCAUGCCAAGGACAACAAACAAAUUCGUGAAGCAUUCCAUAUAAAA